GCUUGCAGUUGUUGAAAAGCAAUAAGUAUCUGUAUAAAAUAGGAAAUUAAUAUAGAUUCCGAUCUCACUCACAGCACACAAUAAAUGUGCGGCAAAAAGUUGAUUGCAUUUAAAGUCUAAUGAGUUUUGAGCUUUGUUCUGUCUCAAAUUGAAUAGAAUUAAUAAUUUGCGGUCUAUCGAGUUUUCCUAACAUUUAACGACGUCAAAUCAACGAUAUCCAGCGCAUCGUUACAUAAUACAUGAAGAAACGUUUUAACCUUUCGAAGAGUGCAGAAGAAUAACUAAAAUGGAUGCACCUAUCACCGUAAAUGCAAAUAGACUGACACAGGCAGCUAGGCAUAGAAGACCAGGGCACCAGGACAUCAGCACACACGAGGGCAGAGCAUCAAAGUUCAACACGCUGCGAUAAAAGCUAAUCGAAUUAUGCUUUUGGCCAAACAACAACAACAACAGCAACGGAAAAAAACGAAAUACUAACAAACAAUUGCUGUGGCAGCAACAGAGUUUUGCAAAAGCGAGCGUCAUGUCAAUGGCCAAGCAAAAAUGUUCGGCUAUCCGGAAGCACACACAAAAAGAGAGAACGUUGCAGGCUGAAAAAGCAGACUUUUACAGGCCAUUAACAAAAAAAUGUUGCGCCUUGCCAUAUGCUACAUAAAAUUUACUCAGAAUCAGCGCCAAAAUGUGCAUUGGCUGUGUGAUCUUGGCGCCGUCGCUGUUACUUUUUUUGUUUUUUUUAAUUUUUGGAUGAGGGUGUAGGAAACGCCAGACCGGAAGCAGCAAAAAACAAACAAGCGAAGAGAGAGAGAGAAAUCGCUAACACAGAAAAAAAGGGGAAAGCGCAGAAGGAAUGGGCAACAAAAUGGCAUUACGACAGGGCAUGUAGGAAACAGCAAUAACAACAAGAACAAUAAUAAAAAAAAGCAGCAGCAAUCACAACAAUCGCAACAACAACAAAAGCAACAAUUGCAGCGGGCGCCUCUCGCCUGUCGAGUAAAAUGAUAAAUUUAAACGCAGUGACAUGACAAAUCGCCGCUCAUUUGUAUUAAUCAGGCGAAUAGCGGGCGUUGGCGAAAGAAAACUUGCCAACCCUUUGGACAACCCCUUCCCCCUGUACUGUAAGGCUUCCCCCCACCAUCCACGCAAAGCUUCUGUUUGUUGUUGAUGUUGCAAUUAUUGUUUUAUGCUGCGCACUUAGAGGCAGCUAAGCCAGCAGCCCACUUAAGUGAUUUGGGCGUGUGUGCUAAGAGUGUGUGUGUGUGUGCGAGUGUGUGUGUGUGUUGCAAUUGUUGUUCUUGGCAUUUGCAUAAUAAUUUCGAGUCGAGUUAAUUUUGCGAAAAAUUAAAAUAUUUCGUAGUUUUUUUCAUUUUCUUUUUUGGGUUGUUUGCUGUGUGUUUUGCUUGCAACUGCAACUGAAAUUGAAGCAGUUUGCUUGCCUCAUCUUCUCAGGCAGGAAAUGAAGAGUAAAGGGGUGCAGGGAGGAGAGAGAGGAGGGGGAGUAAGUAUCCAUUUCGUGUGGCACACACACUGACUUCCCUUUGAGUGAUUUAUUUUUGCAACUGACAUGCGAAAAGAGGAAACUGAAACUGAACUCGGCACGAUGGGAGGCUGACAGCAGCCAGAAGACAGCAGCGAAAAAGAGAGAAAGAGACAGAGAGUGGGGGGGAAACGAAAGAGAAAGAAGGCAGAUUGCGGCACUGAGUUUGCUCUUGACCAAGUGCAACUUCUUUUUGAGUGCGUCGAUGCCUCAACGCUGCCGUUGUCCUGGUUGUUGUCAGCAUGUGUCAAUUUAAUAAAUACGAGCACAAGGCAUCUGUUGUUAUUGGAGCUUGAUG